UAUAUACUAGGGGAAAAAAUCAAUGUGACAAAACCAGAAUUAAACAGAAAUGUCACGUGUUGAUGUGCAAAUUGGAUAAUGUGCACAAUGAAGUCAGGUCAUUAGAAUUUCUCCAUAAAGGGUAGAAAGCUAAGUCCAAUCAAUGUUUUUAAAUAAUUACUUCAAAUUCUAGUAAGUGAUGGCCUGUCCCUCUGGGUCACCUAAGUAUGGUC
rnacentral:lncRNA from 1 species